GAUGAACGCUGGCGGCGUGCCUAAUACAUGCAAGUCGAGCGAACAGACGAGGAGCUUGCUCCUCUGACGUUAGCGGCGGACGGGUGAGUAACACGUGGAUAACCUACCUAUAAGACUGGGAUAACUUCGGGAAACCGGAGCUAAUACCGGAUAAUAUAUUGAACCGCAUGGUUCAAUAGUGAAAGACGGUUUUGCUGUCACUUAUAGAUGGAUCCGCGCCGCAUUAGCUAGUUGGUAAGGUAACGGCUUACCAAGGCGACGAUGCGUAGCCGACCUGAGAGGGUGAUCGGCCACACUGGAACUGAGACACGGUCCAGACUCCUACGGGAGGCAGCAGUAGGGAAUCUUCCGCAAUGGGCGAAAGCCUGACGGAGCAACGCCGCGUGAGUGAUGAAGGUCUUCGGAUCGUAAAACGCUGUUAUUAGGGAAGAACAAAUGUGUAAGUAACUAUGCACGUCUUGACGGUACCUAAUCAGAAAGCCACGGCUAACUACGUG
rnacentral:rRNA from 1 species